CGGAGGAAAAGAAACUAACCAGGAUUCCCUCAGUAGCGGCGAGCGAAGUGGGAACAGCCCAAGAUGAAAAUCUCUUUGGAGAGUUGUAGUCUGGACAAUGUUGAGGGGUCAACUAGAGUAAGUCACAUGGAAUUGUGCACCACGGAGGGUGAGAGUCCCGUCCUGCUCUAGUAAGGGCUUUUUUUCUCGUACAACAUUGUUUCAACCGAGUCGGGUAGCUUGGGAAUGCUGCUCUAAGUGGUGGUAAACUUCAUCAAAGGCUAAAUACUGGUGGGAGACCGAUAGCGAACAAGUACCGUGAGGGAAAGAUGGAAAGCACUUUGAAAAGAGGGUGAAAAGCACCUGAAACCGUCAUGGGGGAAGCGAACUGCGCGAGUGUUGACCUGUUGGCUGCUCAGCCGUGCUUGAUUUUCUUUUUCUAAGCGCGGUGUAUUCAGUGCAGGUUGUGUGGAUGUGGCUGUGAAAUAGUGGAUGAUGCACUAAUUCAUGGUGAGGGCUCCCCUGCGCUUGCGGGGUGAGGACAUUCACGAAAUGACGCAUUUCGACCCGUCUUGAAACACGGACCAAGGAGUCUAGCACGACUGCGAGUCGAAGGGUGAUGGCAAGCCCAAGGGCGCAGUGAAAGCAAAAUGCAAAGUUUUCGAAUAAUGCACAGAUGGAAAAACUGAUCGAGGAGGCAUGGCGACGUUGUCAAAAUGUUCUACCUAGAGCAGUUGUGCUGGGACCCGAAAGAUGGUGAACUAUGCUUGAAUAGGGCAAAGCCAGAGGAAACUCUGGUGGAGGCUCGUAGCGAUGCUGACGUGCAAAUCGCUCGUCGAAUUUGAGUAUAGGGGCGAAAGACUAAUCGAACCAUCUAGUAGCUGGUUCCCUCCGAAGUUUCUCUCAGGAUAGCAGACCAACAAUGUUUUGUGUGUUGUUUUGUGCGGUAAAGCGAAUGAUUAGCGUAUUUGGGGGCGUAAAGCCUUCUGACGAUUCUCAAACUUUAAAUGCGCAAGAAAGAGGUUUGGUUGCUUGGUUGAACCCCUCAUUUUUUGAAAACGUUGGUCUUGUGGGCCACUUUUGGUAAGCAGAACUGGCGAUACGGGAUGAACCGUAAGCGUGGUUAAGGCGUCAAAUUGCGCGCUUACAGAUCCCACAAAAGGUGUUGAUUCAUCCAGACAGCAGGACGGUGGCCAUGGAAGUCGGAAUCCGCUAAGGAGUGUGUAACAACUCACCUGCCGAAUGAAUUAGCCCUGAAAAUGGAUGACGCUGAAGCGGGCAGCCGACACCACGCCGUUUGGGUAAGAUGUGACUCCAAAUGAGUAGGAGGGCGUGGCGGUCUUAAAAAGUUGAUUUUUGUGAGGAAGGUGAGGGCGCAAGCCCCACUGGAACGGCCGCUAGUGCAGAUCUUGGUGGUAGUAGCAAAUAUUCAAGCGGGAUCCUUGAAGGGCGAAGCGGGGAAGGGUUCCACGCUAACAUUGAUUGGGCGUGGGUGAGUCGUACCUAAGCCAGCUGGUAAUUGUUGAUCAAAACUGGCGAAAGGGAAGCGGGUUAAAAUUCUCGCACACGGAUGUGGAGGCGGUGACGCAAACCGAGUCGAAGACGUCGGUGAUAGCGCUGGGCAGAGUUUUCUUUUCUGUUUGACCUGCGAGACGCAUAGUGUGGAAUCCGAUUAUCGGGAGAAACACAUGCCGAGGGGCAGAGCGCCGGGAUUCUCCGGCGUCCAGCACGCUAUUGACGACCCUUGAAAAUUCGACUGGGAUAGUGCACUGUUUUUGUUUUUCAGGAAAGAAAAGCAGUGCUGCAAUUUCACGCCGUGGCGUACCGAUAACCGCAUCAGGUCCCCAAGGUGAACAGCCUCUGCUCAAUAUGAACAAUGCAGGUAAGGGAAGUCGGCAAAAUAGACCCGUAACUUUGGGAAAAGGGUUGGCUCUAGUGAGGCGGAGGAUUGGAUUUUCCUCGGAAAACCAAAAUUGGACAGUGGGGGGUCUGGGUAGGGCGCGGACUUGGUGGCUAGCAGGAG
rnacentral:rRNA from 1 species